UCAUUUUCAUGCUUCGAAAUGCGUCAACAAUUCCCUACGCCAAUUAAUUCAUAAUACAACACGAAAAUGGAACGUUUUGAUGGAGAUUCUUACAUGUCGGCAGUGACAACAACCAAGUGAUAAGAGAAUGCUGGAUAGUGCUGCCUUUCUGCUCUUGUUCGAUGUCAAAGAAACACCAAUUAAGUAGCCUUUAUGGUCCAUCCGCCACCGUUGACUUGUAACCUUCUGUUACCCGGCUUGUUAUGGGA